AAUGUAUAGGUGCUUACGUGUUUGUAAUUUGUAGAACUCUGAAACUGCUACUUGCCACGCGCACCCAUAUAUGUGUCUGUAGUCUGCAGAACUCUGAAGCUGCUUCUUCAACUCGACCGAUUUACUAUCCAAGGUUAAUUUGAAGGAUUCUGAUUUCAGACUAGCUGCUAAAAUAGUAAAGAUAGGUUCUGACAAGGGCAUCUUGAAACACACUCCCUUGCAAAAGGGCGACACCUGUGACUGUGAUAAGAACGCGUUCUCCCAGUCUCCACGUACAUAUGCUUAUUACUUACCACGCAGCCAUACAUGUGUCUGUGGUCUGAAGCUGCUACUUGCCACGCAGCCAUAUAUGUGUCUAGUCUGUAGACUCUGAAGCUGCUUCCUCAGUUGCGAUCCAAGAUUAGCUGCUAAAGUGGUAAAGAUGGAUUCUGAUAAAGGCAUCUUGGAACACACUCCCUUGCAAAAGGGCGACACCUCUGACUGUGAGAAGAACGCGUCCUCCCAAUCUCCACAUGAACAAGGUAUGAAUAAAAAACCUGCGAGAUCAAAUUUGUACGAGAUCUGUGCUGCAAACCAUUGGAAGCCCCCUCUAUUUGAAUGUUACAAAAAGGAUGGUCCAUGCCAUCAGUUAAUGUUUACCUUCAAGGUUACUAUUGAGAUAGAAGAUGCAUCGAGGAACAUUAUAGAGUGCUAUGGUGCCCCUCAACGAAAAAAGAAAACAGCCGCAGACGAUGCAGCUGAGGGAGCUUUGUGGUAUCUAAAGAAUAUAGGCUACGGGAUGAAGAACAAAUAAAGCAAUAUAUUAUUGGAUAUCAUCAACACUCAUGGCUUCGCAUGCCCCAAAAUUUAAUUCACUCUUCGGUGAUGCUCU